rnacentral:lncRNA from 1 species
GUAAGUGGAAAAGUCUUGUAAGGAGGAACUGGUCUUGCUUGUCUAUCACCAUUCCCCACAUACAACAAUUACAAGACUGCGAAUGAUAGAAGGAAUGAAUCCUUACACGAAUUCCAACACUUGGAAUUUACAAUCCUAACAAAGAGAGAGAGGCAAUCGAAUACGAGACAGACAGAGCAGACAAUGAAAGAAAAGAGGACGGAAUGGAAUCCUGAUAGCUAAGAGAAUAAGCAAAGGUACCUUAAGCGAUAGGCGAAUGGGCUUACAUCCGCAAAAGCAUUCACUCCCGUAGAAAGACCAUACGGAAUAGACGGAAUCAAAAGCAGUGCACCCAGACAAAGACCAUAGGGCAACGGUCUUUAGACCAAUCACACGAGAGGAGGGACUUAGUCAAAGUUGAGGUUAAAGAUUAGGAUGAUUGGGAUGUAUGCUUACAUUUGUCAUAUAAGGAGAGACUGAGUCAAGCACUACAAGAAUUAGCACAAGGAUUAGUGCUGGAAAGGUUGAUACGAUUGAUUCGCUUGCCUCGAAGACUGGCAUUAGGCCCCUACUGAGGAUAGGAUUGAUUCGAAGCAAAGGGAAAUGCUUCUCCGCUACGGGAGAUGCUAGAAGAAAAGAAGAGAAGCCCCCGGGGGAUAUUACACAGGCUAGCAGACAACCGGAAAGCUAUUCCCUUGCAACAAUGGUAGGGUUUUGAAUGCUUACGGAAUUGAAAGCUAGGACGAAAGGGCCAGCAUCAGACAUAGGGACUACGGGAUAUACGUAAUAGCCGGGCUAAGAGAUUCUAAAAACUAGUAAAGAAAAGGCAAUAGCCCCUUCCACGACUAAGAAAGUUGGCAAUGGGGAUAGACCUUUUCGCUUUUUCAGAAUACGGGAGAGUAAGCAAGGGUAGUAAUGGGCGGAAGAAGUAAGCUGGCUGGCGGGAUAGAAGGUUCAAGAUCCAUCCUGUGAGAAAGCCAAUUACUUUUUUUGUGGAUUUAGUCACCUUGGAUGUAUUUCCCUCUAUAACGGACAUGCUUGCCCUGCGAUCUAUUUUCUUGGGAAUCUUGGUAUCCGCUUUCAAGCUAGUGACCUGAGCUAGCCUUUACUUCGAGGCCAGUCCUAUUGAGAUUCCUUCGAUUGAAGUUCUUUCCAGGCGAACCCAUUACAGUCCUAGGGCAAUCAAGCUUAGGAAGGCAGCUGGUAUUCAUAUUGCUUUUUUUUUUUAUCACUUUUCUUUUGGGAAGGGGGGAAAGAAAGCCUUACCUUAUUCCCCAUAUUAGCCUGUUCUGUUUUGUGGAAAGCUUCUUUGAAAGCUGUUUGAGUUCCCUUGGUUGGAUAUGGGUCUGCUGGAUCAAAAUAAAAGGCGCUAUAAGCCAUGGCAAGUCCUAAG